rnacentral:rRNA from 1 species
CUACGGGUCGCUGCAGUGGGGAAUCUUAGACAAUGGGGGCAACCCUGAUCUAGCCAUGCCGCGUGAGUGAUGAAGGCCUUAGGGUCGUAAAGCUCUUUCGCCUGUGAUGAUAAUGACAGUAGCAGGUAAAGAAACCCCGGCUAACUCCGUGCCAGCAGCCGCGGUAAUACGGAGGGGGUUAGCGUUGUUCGGAAUUACUGGGCGUAAAGCGCGCGUAGGCGGAUUAGAAAGUUGGGGGUGAAAUCCCGGGGCUCAACCUCGGAACUGCCUCCAAAACUGCUAGUCUAGAGUUCGAGAGAGGUGAGUGGAAUUCCGAGUGUAGAGGUGAAAUUCGUAGAUAUUCGGAGGAACACCAGUGGCGAAGGCGGCUCACUGGCUCGAUACUGACGCUGAGGUGCGAAAGUGUGGGGAGCAAACAGGAUUAGAUACCCCCGUAGUC